AUUCUUGUCUUACAUUUGUUUAGAUACGGAUGUAUCUAACACUAAAAUGUAACUAGAUACAUCCGUAUUUAGACAAAUUUAAGACAAGAAUUUUGGGACAGAGGGAGUACAAA
rnacentral:pre_miRNA from 1 species